CCUACGGGAGGCAGCAGUGGGGAAUAUUGCACAAUGGGGGAAACCCUGAUGCAGCGACGCCGCGUGAGUGAAGAAGUAUUUCGGUACGUAAAGCUCUAUUAGCAGGGAAGAAAAUGACGGUACCUGACUAAGAAGCACCGGCUAACUACGUGCCAGCAGCCGCGGUAAUACGUAGGGGGCAAGCGUUAUCCGGAUUUACUGGGUGUAAAGGGAGCGUAGACGGCAGCGCAAGUCUGGAGUGAAAUCCCAUGGCUUAACCAUGGAACUGCAUUGGAAACUGUGCAGCUAGAGUGCAGGAGAGGUAAGCGGAAUUCCUAGUGUAGCGGUGAAAUGCGUAGAGAUUAGGAGGAACACCAGUGGCGAAGGCGACUUACUGGACUGUAACUGACGUUGAGGCGCGAAAGCGUGGGGAGCAAACAGGAUUAGAUACCCCUGUAGUC
rnacentral:rRNA from 1 species